UCCAGAAUAGCUGAACUGGUCGAAACAAGCUAUUGGAUCGCUAUGAACGAAGUCCGAUACGCGCCGAAAGUCAACUCUACUUCGCGGCUUCUCCGAAAAACCGGAGUUACUAUUCACUUAAGUGAAUACUAAUGAUCGCGUAACUUCUCCGUUCUAAUUCGUUUUUUCAUGAAACUUGACGAGUGCUUAUGUAAUUAAAUUACACAAAAAAACAUCAUCAACAGAGAGUUUAGCUACACUGCAAAAUCUCAAUCCUUAUAGAGAGAAAGAGUGGAAACUUACUCUCUAUCUCUCUCUCUCUCUCUCUCUCUCUCUCUCUCUCUCUCUCGGUUUGGGACCAAAAUAAGGGUUUACAUAUAUAUAUAUAGGCCCCCAAAACACUAUUACAACUAGCCGUUUAGCUUUCAGAAUCUGAUACUUUUCGUCGGAGCCCUUCUGAAUGUCCGUUUGCGCUCAAAUUUGACAAUCAGCCUCGGUUUAACUUAAUAAGAACAAAAAAAAUUUAAUCUUUCAGUUUCGACCAUUUUUGGUUACCAAAAGCUCUACCGAACUGAAAUCUCUAACAGAUAGCAGUCAGAUUUUAUUUUCCACUUUCCGGAUGUCGGAAUGAUAUGAAACUUUAAAUCUAGCCUCAUAAAAAUAAUCCCGACAUAUUUUCAGAUUUUCAUAAUUUUCUGACACUGUGAAUUUUCUGCUAAAAGAUCAGCCCCGUUUCUCACAAAAAAUUCUAAAUUUUCUCUUUUCAUUCUGAUUUCAGCAUAAGUCAUUUCCGACUUAUAUUUUACUUCUCAAAGUCCAAUAAAAAUAAUAUCUUACACUAUUUUUAUUUAUUUUUACUUUUUUUUAUUAAAAUCCGGUACAUCAUAUUCUACCGUAACUUCAUAACUUCAGAAGUUCGGCACCUUACAUCCUCCAUUCCUUCAAAAGAGUUUUGUUCUCGAAACUCAAAUCACAUUUCAACUUGACUUAUC
rnacentral:lncRNA from 1 species